CGGUAGUGUUUCUGCUAACUUAUUUCAUUUAUUAUAUUUUAUUAAUGUUUAUUGAGUUGAUUAAUUAAAAUAAUGAUCAAUUAGUGUACUAUUAAUGAUAAUAAUUAAAAACAUCUAUAAAUUAUAAUAAAUUAAAUGUUAAAAGUAAAGAAUAUAAUUUUUUUAAAUUGUGGCGUCAGGACAACGGCUUGAAGGAAUAUCUUGUAAUUAAAGAAUUUAUUAAAAAAUUUUUAUGAACGUACCUUUAAAAGUUUGGUUGAAUGACCUAUAAAUUAGCAAAAACUUGAAUAAAACCCGUGUUUAAUGUUUUAUGAGAAUAAAAAUAAUUAAAGUAUUAAUUAAUAAUAAAUUAUCUUUGAGAUGCCAGUGUUUAAAAAUUUCAAGUGUUCGUGUAAAGUAUUUAUGUUCUAAGUGUUCAAAUUUCGAGUGCUUACAUUCAGUGUUCAAAAAUUAAAAGUGCUCAAAUUUACGGUACAGCUGCCGCAGCACAUUUCAGACUGCACUCUUAAAGUGUUUAUAUUAGCUGUUCAAAAAUUUAAAGUUUUAAAAUUCAGUGUACAAAAUUUAAAGUGUUACAUUCCAAGUGCUCAAAUAUUAAAGUUUUUAAAUUCCAAGUGUUGAAAUUUGAAGUCUUCAAAUCAUUUCUUUGAUUCCAGAUUUAAAAAAAGAUGUCAACAAUGAGUUUGGAGCGCAGAGUAAAGAGUAAAAGGAAAUGAAGAUGGAGAUGAUCCAACCGGUGCGAAGAAAUGUCAGAGAGUAACUGCAAGUUUAAUUGUACGAAAGAAAUUGCAAAGCUCUCUCUCAACUCAGACUGAAACUCUCUCCGAGGUAAAUUUUGGUUCAGCGGAACGUAGCACUUAACAUUUUACUAUAUGGUAACUAUUUAAAAUAAUACAUAAAUAUAUAUGGAUAUAUAUAUAUAUUUUUAAAAAGGAAUGAAAAGCUAAAGACACGGAUGAGAAAAGAAUUCGCGCUACCUGUUGAUCUUGCUGGUGUGUGUUGGUGUGUGUUUACACACAUUGGGGAUGUACUGAUGUUGGUGAAAGACUACUGGGGAGGGGGUUGAAAGGUGUGCUGGUGAAUAAGUAGGGGCUAUGAGGAAAUUUGUGAGAAAAAGAGAGAAACCCGACUGCAGAG